rnacentral:tRNA from 1 species
ACCGCGAUAGCUCAGCUAGUAGAGCAUCUGCUCGGAAUGCGGAGGGUCGUCGGUUCGACUCCGGCUCGCUGCG